GGAAAGACACAACUAUAGGCGAGGUGGUCUUGGUUGCUAACUGAGCGAAUUAGUAAUUCUUACAGGUUCAAAUCCUGUUCUUUCCG
rnacentral:tRNA from 1 species